UGGGGAAUAUUGCACAAUGGGCGAAAGCCUGAUGCAGCAACGCCGCGUGCGGGAUGACGGCCUUCGGGUUGUAAACCGCUUUCAGCAGGGACGAAGGGUUUCUGACGGUACCUGCAGAAGAAGCACCGGCUAACUACGUGCCAGCAGCCGCGGUGAUACGUAGGGUGCGAGCGUUGUCCGGAAUUAUUGGGCGUAAAGAGCUCGUAGGUGGUUUGUUGCGUCGGAAGUGAAAACUCAGGGCUUAACCCUGAGCCUGCUUUCGAUACGGGCAGACUAGAGGAAGGUAGGGGAGAACGGAAUUCCUGGUGGAGCGGUGGAAUGCGCAGAUAUCAGGAGGAACACCGGUGGCGAAGGCGGUUCUCUGGACCUUUCCUGACGCUGAGGAGCGAAAGCGUGGGGAGCAAACAGGCUUAGAUACCCUGGUAGUCCACGCCGUAAACGGUGGCACUAGGUGUGGGGGACAUUCCACGUUCUCCGUGCCGUAGCUAACGCAUUAAGUGGCCCCGCCUGGGGAGUACGGCCGCAAGGCUAAAACUCAAAUGAAUUGACGGGGUCAUAGCUGUUU
rnacentral:rRNA from 1 species